GUGAACGCUGGCGGUAGGCCUAACACAUGCCAGUCGAACGGCAGCACCGUAAGAGCUUGCUCUUACGGGUGGCGAGUGGCGGACGGGUGAGGAAUACAUCGGAAUCUACUUUUUCGUGGGGGAUAACGUAGGGAAACUUACGCUAAUACCGCAUACGACCUACGGGUGAAAGCAGGGGAUCUUCCGACCUUGCGCGAUUGAAUGAGCCGAUGUCGGAUUAGCUAGUUGGCGGGGUAAAGGCCCACCAAGGCGACGAUCCGUAGCUGGUCUGAGAGGAUGAUCAGCCACACUGGAACUGAGACACGGUCCAGACUCCUACGGGAGGCAGCAGUGGGGAAUAUUGGACAAUGGGCGCAAGCCUGAUCCAGCCAUACCGCGUGGGUGAAGAAGGCCUUCGGGUUGUAAAGCCCUUUUGUUGGGAAAGAAAAGCAGCAGGUUAAUACCCCGCUGUUCUGACGGGACCCAAAGAAUAAGCACCGGCUAACUUCGU
rnacentral:rRNA from 1 species